UCCUACGGGAGGCAGCAGUGGGGAAUAUUGCACAAUGGGCGCAAGCCUGAUGCAGCAACGCCGCGUGAGGGACGAAGGCCUUCGGGUUGUAAACCUCUUUUAGUAGGGAAGAAGCGACUGGGUUUUCCUGGGAGUGACGGUACCUGCAGAAAAAGCACCGGCUAACUACGUGCCAGCAGCCGCGGUAAUACGUAGGGUGCAAGCGUUGUCCGGAAUUAUUGGGCGUAAAGGGCUCGUAGGCGGUUUGUCGCGUCUGCUGUGAAAACCCGAGGCUCAACCUCGGGCCUGCAGUGGGUACGGGCAGACUAGAGUGCGGUAGGGGAGAUUGGAAUUCCUGGUGUAGCGGUGGAAUGCGCAGAUAUCAGGAGGAACACCAAUGGCGAAGGCAGAUCUCUGGGCCGUAACUGACGCUGAGGAGCGAAAGCAUGGGGAGCGAACAGGAUUAGAUACCCUGGUAGUCCAUGCCGUAAACGUUGGGAACUAGAUGUGGGGACCAUUCCACGGUCUCCGUGUCGCAGCUAACGCAUUAAGUUCCCCGCCUGGGGAGUACGGCCGCAAGGCUAAAACUCAAAGGAAUUGACGGGGGCCCGCACAAGCGGCGGAGCAUGCGGAUUAAUUCGAUGCAACGCGAAGAACCUUACCAAGGCUUGACAUAUACCGGAAACGGCUGGAAACAGUCGCCCCGCAAGGUCGGUAUACAGGUGGUGCAUGGUUGUCGUCAGCUCGUGUCGUGAGAUGUUGGGUUAAGUCCCGCAACGAGCGCAACCCUCGUCCUAUGUUGCCAGCACGUAAUGGUGGGAACUCAUGGGAUACUGCCGGGGUCAACUCGGAGGAAGGUGGGGAUGACGUCAAAUCAUCAUGCCCCUUAUGUCUUGGGCUUCACGCAUGCUACAAUGGCCGGUACAAAGGGUUGCGAUACCGCAAGGUGGAGCGAAUCCCAAAAAGCCGGUCUCAGUUCGGAUUGAGGUCUGCAACUCGACCUCAUGAAGUCGGAGUCGCUAGUAAUCGCAGAUCAGCAACGCUGCGGUGAAUACGUUCCCGGGCCUUGUACACACCGC
rnacentral:rRNA from 1 species